UGCGUAGGGGGCUAGCGUUGUCCGGAAUCAUUGGGCGUAAAGCGCGUGUAGGCGGUCCGGUAAGUCCGCUGUGAAAGUCGGGGGCUCAACCCUCGGAUGCCGGUGGAUACUGUCGGGCUUGAGUACGGAAGAGGCGAGUGGAAUUCCUGGUGUAGCGGUGAAAUGCGCAGAUAUCAGGAGGAACACCAAUUGCGAAGGCAGCUCGCUGGGACGUUACUGACGCUGAGACGCGAAAGCGUGGGGAGCAAACAGG
rnacentral:rRNA from 1 species